AUUGAACGCUGGCGGAAUGCUUUACACAUGUAAGUCGAACGGCAGCACGGGUGCUUGCACCUGGUGGCGAGUGGCGAACGGGUGAGUAAUACAUCGGAACGUACCCUGACGUGGGGGAUAACGUAGCGAAAGUUACGCUAAUACCGCAUACGUCCUGAGGGAGAAAGCGGGGGAUCGCAAGACCUCGCGCGUUAGGAGCGGCCGAUGGCGGAUUAGCUAGUUGGUGGGGUAAAGGCCUACCAAGGCGACGAUCCGUAGCAGGUCUGAGAGGAUGAUCUGCCACACUGGAACUGAGACACGGUCCAGACUCCUACGGGAGGCAGCAGUGGGGAAUAUUGGACAAUGGGCGAAAGCCUGAUCCAGCCAUGCCGCGUGUGUGAAGAAGGUCUUCGGAUUGUAAAGCACUUUAAGUCGGGAGGAAGGACUGUAGGCUAAUACCUUGCAGUUUUGACGUUACCGACAGAAUAAGCACCGGCUAACUUCGUGCCAGCCGCCGCCGUAAUAC
rnacentral:rRNA from 1 species